GAUGAAGAACGUAGCGAAAUGCGAUAAGUAAUGUGAAUUGCAGAAUUCAGUGAAUCAUCGAAUCUUUGAACGCACAUUGCGCCCCUCGGUAUUCCGAGGGGCAUGCCUGUUCGAGCGUCAUUAUAACCCUUCAAGCUCAGCUUGGUGUUGGGGCCUGCUGUAACUGGUAGCCCUUAAAAUCAGUGGCAGUGCUAUUAGGCUCUAAGCGUAGUAAUUCUUCCCGCUAUAGUGUGUAGUGAGCGCUUGCCAGAACCCCAAACUUUUAUAUGAUUGACCUCGGAUCAGGUAGGGAUACCCGCUGAACUUAAGCAUAUCAAUAAGCGGAGGA
rnacentral:misc_RNA from 1 species